rnacentral:rRNA from 1 species
GACGAACGCUGGCGGCGUGGAUUAGGCAUGCAAGUCGAACGGUAUCAUCCUUUCGGGGGUGAGAGAGUGGCGAACUGGUGAGUAACACGUAGGUUAUCUACCCUCAAGACGGGGACAACCCAGGGAAACUUGGGCUAAUACCGGAUGUGAGCAACUUUUAGUUGUUUGAAAGGUGGCGUAAGCUGUCGCUUGGGGAUGAGCCUGCGUCCUAUUAGUUAGUUGGUGAGGUAACGGCUCACCUAGGCAAUGAUAGGUAGGCGGCCUUAACGGGUGGUCGCCCACACUGGGAUUGAGAUACGGCCCAGACUCCUACGGGAGGCAGCAGUCGAGAAUAGUCUACAAUGGUCGGAAGACUGAUAGUGCGACGCCGCGUGAACGAUGAAUCCCUUCGGGGUGUAAAGUUCUUUUAUAUGUGAGCAGUGCUUCUUAUAUUAACAGUAUGGGGAAGAGAUAUUAGCAUAUGAAUAAGCAACGGCUAACCGUGCCAGCAGCCGGGUAAU